rnacentral:rRNA from 1 species
AUUGAACGCUGGCGGCAUGCCUAACACAUGCAAGUCGAACGAGUGGCGGACGGGUGAGUAAUGUCUGGGAAACCUCCCGCUGUAGGGGGAUAACUCCUGGAAACGGUAGCUAAUACCGCAUACCCUCGUAUGUGCCCAGAUGGGAUUUGCUUGGUGGUGGGGUAAAGGCUCACCCAGGCGCAGAUCCCUAGCUAGGCUGAGAGGAUGACCAGCCACACUGGGACUGAGACACGGGCCAGACUCCUACGGGAGGCAGCAGGGGUGAAUAUUGCACAAUGGGGGAAGUCCUGAGGCAGCCAUGCCGCGUGUAUGAAGAAGGCCUUCGGGUUGUAAAGUACUUUUAGCAGGGAAGCGGGAUCUGCAGAAUAAGAACCGGCUAACUCCGUGCCAGCAGCCGCGGUAAUUC